ensembl:lncRNA
AAAAACCUCAGAUGCAUGGUUUCUCAUGCUUUCUCAUAUCUGAAGAGAUAUAAAGGUAAGCUGAGCUGCCUGUGCAUGAGGACUUUACCCAGCUCCUUUAGUUCAAGCAAUGAGAGUCUUGAAUCCAAGCUCUCUGAGAUGGGAACAAUUAAAGAAAUAAGUAUGGCUCUCAUGAGGUGGAGUACAGACAGAGAGAUAAGUAAAGAUGACGAGGACUGUCACAUAGAACUGCAACCUAUGGAGGAAAAAGAAAGUGAUGAGUUUGCAGAAGCUGAGGAGAAAGCUCAAAGUGAUAUUGAAACAAUCCUCAACAAUCUGAAUUAUUUACAUGAUGAAGAUGAUGCAGAUAAAGCUGCAGCUGACAUUGUAAAUGUGUUAAUUGCUAACAUUCAGCAUCCUGAUGCAGAAGAUAUCACAUUAAGUGAGAAGUGUAGCUCACCCAAGCCUGCUUUUGAUGUGGACCUGGUGAUCAAAAAGGUGAAAGACUUUUUUGCAUCAUGUUCCCUAAUUAUAAAACCAGAUGAAGUAAAACAACACUUCUUCAGGUUUGCUAAAAAGGAAUUUGAAAAAAUGAACAGUGAGCUGAAAGAUCAGGUGAAGAAAAGCAAAGGAUUUUUCACCUUUCAGAGACAACAGGCAAACUCCCCUGAGAGUGAGAGAGCUGACGCCAGGAAAAGCGUACACAUGAAUCCCUCAGAAGUUCCCAGAAAGUCACCAACCUUAGAAACCACAGUUAGAAGUUCUUCUCCACUCAAAUUUAGAACAGUCAUGCCGGUUAUGGAUAAACUGUUUAGUAAAUUAACCCAGGCAGGACACCUUGACCUGACAAGUAAGGAAAUCGAGAUGUUUUCAAGGGAGUUGACAGAUAAAGUGUACGACCAUGUUGAGUCAACAUAUCCAGCUCCCACGAUGCAAAUGGGUAAAAGUCUCUCAGAGUCUGACAUGUCUAAGACUUCACAGGGUGACUGUAACGUACCCUCUGCUCCUGAGGUGCCAUAUGUGCUCGUAGGAGAUUCAGUGGAAAGGUUCUUACAAAACCUUCUUUUCUGGUUGGAGAAUGAAACUUUAACCCAAACUAUUAUAAAUGACAAAAUUUCUGGUGCCGUGGAAGAUAUAGUAAGAGUGCUGACCCCAUCAAAGGAAGAAGUUAUGGUUGGACCAGAUGCUGGUGAAACAAGUGACAGACUGUUUACCUCACAGUCAAGUCCAGUUACUGAUCUCACCAAUCAACCAGUCUGUGUGAGUGCAGAACACCCGGACCUGGUUUCAAAUACAAGCAAUGAUCAGGCAUCAGUGUCUCACACUGAACCCACAGAGGGUCAAAGUCAGCCAGCAACCUCUGAAAAAACAGAGGAAGAACUGUCAGAAACAUUAGUGUCACCUGAUGAUAGGCUAAUUGCCAAUCAAUUUAGCACUCUUCUAGUCAUGAGAAUCUCACGCAAAUUGCCCCAAAACAUCAUAAAUCUUCUGGAUACAGAAAAAAUAGACUUAGCUACCAACCAUCUGACAGAGUUGGUACUUUCUGAAGUGAGACGGACCAAAUCCCUGGAAAUUCUUAAAAAUAACAGGGUUAAAUUAGUCAAGGCCACAGCUAAAGGCCUUAUCAAGGAGUUUGGAUCUUCAGACAAGUUCUUCGAUGUAAUGAUAUCAGAAGAUUCAUCUUUUUACGACACUAUUCUGAAUCACCUAGCAAUCAAUCUCGGUGUCUUCAUGAAUCCUCCAAAGAAAUCCAAACUCGCCAGGUUUUUUUCAGCAGUGUUAAAAGCUUUUAAGAAGCCGUUCAGCUGCUGCUUUAAAGGCAGUACUGAUGACUAAAUUGUCAUCUUGAUUUUUUUCAAAUACCUCUUUUAAAAUCUUAAAGCAGUCUGGCCUCAGAGUUAACAUCUGAGGUAUAUUUUAUUUUAAAACUAUUUCAUUCGACUUUAAUUAGACUGAGAAAUAUUCUUCAUCGUGUCUCCUCAUUAUCGUUACCAUCACCCCCACCGGCCGCGGCAGAUGGUCGUCCCUUCUGAGCCUGGUUCUGCCGGAGGUUUCUGCCUGUUACAGGUAGUUUUUCCUCCCCACUGUCGCCAAGUGCUUGCUCAUAAGGGAUUAUUAAUUAAUUGGGGUUUUCUUGCUGCUACUGUAGGGUCUCUAUCUUACAGUAUAAAGCAACUUGAGGAGACAGUUGUGAUUUGAUGCUAUAUUACAAAUAUUAAAUUCAACUGAAUCUUAAAAACAUGUAAUAUAGCAUCACAUCACCAUCAAAUCAACA